rnacentral:tRNA from 1 species
GGUUCGGUAGCUCAGGUGGAUAGAGCAACAGCCUUCUAAGCUGUGGGUCUUGGGUUCGAGUCCCAACCGAAUCA